rnacentral:tRNA from 1 species
GCCUGGGUGGCUCAGUUGGUUAAGCAUCUGACUUCAGCUCAGGUCAUGAUCUCAAGGUUCUUGGGUUCGAGCCCCAUAUCGGGCU